GCAGCUAUCAAGUCUCAAGAUAUGACAUAAUUUGAUAGAAUGUUAGUACCAACGCUAUCAGUGCAUUGAAGUCGAGUUCUCGAUACAGGGAGCUGCUGGUAAACUACCGUCGCUAUACAUCGACUAUGACUACAAUCCUACUUUUAAAAACAAACUACAUACAUAUCUCACAUUUGCGAGGACUACUUCAUCACAAGCAAAAAAUCGACAUUGGUAAAUAAAGGUCUGUCUUCUAUAACCACGAUGAAAAGAAAAGCUGGGCGAAAACAUUUGAGACUGCAGAUUGCAGAACUGGAACACUCUAUUUGAAGACAGUGGCUGCUGAGUGCUGAGCUGCAUCAAAUCUAUCAGCAUCAUGUAACUUCGAUCAGGAACAGACUCCAUUUCAUUUCCGACAACUAGCACCUGUUUUCCCUAGACUUACCAAGU